ACAGAGGUGGCAAGCGUUGUUCGGAAUUACUGGGCGUAAAGGGCGCGUAGGCGGCCCUCUAAGUCAGACGUGAAAUCCCCCGGCUUAACCUGGGAACUGCAUUCGAGACUGCAUUGCUAGAGUAUGGGAGAGGGAAGUGGAAUUUCAGGUGUAGCGGUGAAAUGCGUAGAUAUCUGAAGGAACAUCAGUGGCGAAAGCGACUUCCUGGACCAAUACUGACGCUCAUGUGCGAAAGCGUGGGGAGCAAACAGGA
rnacentral:rRNA from 1 species